AUGAACGCUGGCGGCGUGCCUAAUACAUGCAAGUCGAGCGAACAGACGAGGAGCUUGCUCCUCUGACGUUAGCGGCGGACGGGUGAGUAACACGUGGAUAACCUACCUAUAAGACUGGGAUAACUUCGGGAAACCGGAGCUAAUACCGGAUAAUAUAUUGAACCGCAUGGUUCAAUAGUGAAAGACGGUUUUGCUGUCACUUAUAGAUGGAUCCGCGCCGCGUUAGCUAGUUGGUAAGGUAACGGCUUACCAAGGCAACGAUGCGUAGCCGACCUGAGAGGGUGAUCGGCCACACUGGAACUGAGACACGGUCCAGACUCCUACGGGAGGCAGCAGUAGGGAAUCUUCCGCAAUGGGUGAAAGCCUGACGGAGCAACGCCGCGUGAGUGAUGAAGGUCUUCGGAUCGUAAAACUCUGUUAUUAGGGAAGAACAAAUGUGUAAGUAACUAUGCACGUCUUGACGGUACCUAAUCAGAAAGCCACGGCUAACUACGUG
rnacentral:rRNA from 1 species